rnacentral:tRNA from 1 species
GGCUGGUUAGCUCAGUCAGUUGAGCGUGGUGCUGAUAACACCAAGGUCGGGGGUUCCAUCCCCGCUCGGUCC